UUAGGGACUCGGUAGAGAUGUGGGGGGAUAUUCUGAUGGACGGGGUCGGCACGGUGGGGUUGCAAGAAAGAGAAGGGGGGCCAAGAGGGGACACUAGGUACUGGGGGGACUGCCACAGGAAGGCUGAGCAGAAAGUUCCCGCAGCAGGCUGUCCCUGCUGCUUAUUGGACAGGGUGACGUAAUCUCCAGGAGGAGGCUCUUACUUGGGCCCAGCAUUCUGGUUUAGGUGCAGAAAGGAAGGGCAGGGCGAGGUGGGAAGAUGGAGAGGAAAGGAGGUAGAAUUCAGUGGCGGUGGAAUUGGUUGAUGCUCUAGAAAUGAUCUAAGAAGGCAGGGGCGCAGGCAGGGCUGACUUUGAACUUGUCAAUACCAGCAGCCCUCUUUUUUUCCAGACAAAAAGGGUGCCAGCCCAUCUGGGGCUGAGGCCUGGUCUUGUGGAAACUGGAUUUAGCUUCGCAGGGCAGACAGCUCUGGCCCAGGGUGGUAGGUAAUGUGGACUCAGCCUGGUGGAGCCCAGGUCUGGGUGAGGCAAGGCCUCAGGCGGAGGUGAGGGGGUGGCCUAAGAAGGGAGCGCAGAGGCGAGGAGCUGGCCCCACCCGUGGCUGGUGUGGCACCUGGGGCUGCUGAGGCAGGGUGCUUGUUGAGGGCAUCAUUGACCGACCUUUAUUUUCCAGGUUACAGUGGCCCAUUGGACUUCCCCUAGGCUCUGUGCUAGUCUUCUCUGUGAGCUCACUCUACCCCUCCUCUUCCUCCCCCUAACUUACUGAGGUUGUCCCUUCACUUAAACCUGUCGUCUGGUGGUAAGCCUGGGGAAGUCGCUGGAGCUGGUGUUGGACUCGAUAUCUUUGCGGUCAUCAUGGCGAGCAGAUGGCACCAGGAGAAAUGGAGCCCCUGCCAGUGUGUGAGUCGUAGCAGUACAGGAGGGGAGACCUUGAAGGAAACAGCCCGAUUAAAUUGAAGCCUGCAGAUUGAAUUCCGGAGGCUUAGGAGUUCUCCAGUGCCAUGGGUCCAGGCCUUGCUCGGGAAGCCCUGUAUUCAGGAGGUCGCCACUAAAGUUUUCAGAUGAGUUUAUGAGGGGAAUCCAGAAAUCCAGAGCAGAUGCAUCCGGCUUGCAUGAUCAAUAGCUUUGAUGUCUGUUCCGGGAGCACCAUCCUCUGGGCACGAGAAUACCAGCAGGCGCCCCUGUUUUCCUGGGGAUAGAGGUGUUCAGAUGCUGCAACUACUAAACUGAGCCUCAGAUCAUUCUAGUUUGGUGCUACGAACCUUGCUUCAAGAAGAUUGUUAAGCCGUAGGACAUUUUAACGAUACUACAACGCAGUGAUGCCUUGUAGAUGGCGCUUGCCAGAUGGAGCCCAGUGACCUCUCACCUACCUGCCCCCUUGCCCAUGCGUUGGCCAGAGGAGUCGUUAGUGUGAUGAUGAAACUCUUGGGUGUGGGGAAACUGUUCAGUUUUAAAUCUUUUACGUAGAGGGAAUAUGUAAGAGGCGGCAAGUUGGGUGGGGCGGGGCUUACCUGUUGUGCGGAAAUCUGGGAGGGUACAAGCUGAUCAUGCCAAGUUUUGGGCGAAGGAAGUGGUAUCUGGUUUGGGCAUUCUGGUGGCAUCGCAGAUUGCUGAAAAGGGGAUGAAUGGUGCGUGUACUGUGUGUGCUGGUGAUGGCCCUUAACGGGUGCAUACCAAGCCAGUGUCCACUACUGGUAGCUGUGCCCCCAGUCCAGAUCUUUGAUCCUUCUUCCUCUAUUUACUUAAACUUGAUUUUUACUUGACUAGAAUUCGGAAAACCUGGGGUUCUAACUGGGAAGGUUCCUGAGGGUGGGGGGUGGGAGUUGGGAUGGAUGGAGAGGGCAAGGGAGGAUGUGGGGGACGCAGCACAGAGGAUGAGGUUGGGAGUGUGGGUGGAAGAGGAUUUACUCAAAUUUAUGAGUGAAGAAAAUACUAAUGAUAAAUUGAUAAUGCUGGUUAAAUUGUUGCGUAGAAACAGUAAAAAUAGCUUGGAAACUAUAAAAAAUGCUUGGAACUUGAAGAGAAGGAAAAAAGCAAAAUUGUUUUGCUUUGCUGAAAAGUGUAAAGAAUUGAAAAAGGUUACUUUAAAUCCUGAAUAGUCGCUUGGAAAAUGAUCACAAACUUACUGUUAAAGGGAGGUUAUCUGAAGGUGUGGGUUUUUUUUUUUUUCUUCAGGAUUAAAAAGUCUUAGGCUUCUAAAUUGUGGGCUUUUAAAGCUUAAGUGAGCCCUUGAGAAUAAAUGGGUUCUUGUGGGCUCUUGGUUCACGUUUAGUCACUGAGGUCAUUUGUGAUUAAAAAUUCUAACCAUACUACAAAUGUGAUGCCUUCUGAAGCAAUUCCGUGUAUAUAAGUUGUGUUGUAAAAUAUUGAAUCUUCCUAUGGUGGGUCAGUAAUCACAACAGCAAAAUUUGUGCUUGCUUGUUUUAUCUUGUCCAGUCAUAGUCUUUGUGACAAGAACCAGACUAACCUGUGGUGGUCACUGAAAUUACUUUGGUACAAAGUAGCAGCCAAUCCAGAUACCUUGAUUAGGGUCACGGUGAAUAAUGCAUUUACGGUGAAUAAUGCAUUGCAUCUUUAGUUUUGAAUGUUUGUGCUAUUUAAAUCAUCCAGGACUAGAGUGAAAACUAUUACAAUCAUUUGAGGGGAAAAUAGCAAAACUGGAGAGAAGCAGACACCGUACUGGAUAAAAUUAGUAAAAGUUUAGAGACUGAAAAACCAUACUUGUUUUUGAGCUGUCUCUGUCAAGUUGGUGAAGUAGUAUCAAUGGCUUUUUAAUGUAUUCCUCUUUAAUUUCACUUUAAAAUAUUUAAAUCCUUAAUGCAUUCAUCCUUGAGAUUUUUCUGUUUGGGUUAUUUAAAUGCUAAUAUGUUGAUGUGUUCCUAACCAGUGAUUGGGUCACUGUCACUAGAACUUGAAGUGUAUUAGUCAUGCUUGUAUGGGGAAAUAUUUCUGGGUAUUAACUUAAAAGUGCACUACUCAUGCUUGUAUGGGGAAAUGUUUUUGGGUGUACUGUUGUGAAAUGCGGGCUGUAAAAGCACAUGGUUAAAAGCGCUUGUUUAUUGCUCUUGUAAGGUAAGAACUCUUGUUGCAUCAUGUAUGUAAUUACUAAUGUCUUUUCUUCCCUUUUACAGCACAAAUAAAGGUUUGCAUUCUAAGCUCCUUAAAA